GAACACUGCUCUGCUUGGGCGUCCUGUUGCCAAAGCUCGCCUGAUUCAGGACAAGUCUCGUUUACAGACUCGCUUGGGUGAAAUGGACUGCCUGACCCGACUUCCUUGCUUUGUGAAGUGUCAUCCUUUCCCCACCAGGUCAUCAUAUCUGAGGCCACAGGGCAGUGGGGAAGGUCCCGGCCUCAUGGGAUUAACAUCCUUUGUUUUCUCCUGGAUCAAACUCCAGCAUGGCUUUUGCUGUCACUGUUGUGAAAUUGUGCUGUUUGUUUCUCGUAAGAGAAAAAAUGUUAUUAAAAAUUACACUGCCUCUGUUUUACAUUCCGACUUUUUCAAGAAUCCUGCAGUUGAAGUGCUCCCAUUUUUGGACCAAAGACAACAUAGAAGUGUUUGUUGAACCUCGUUCCUCUGUGUGAAAUAGUCAACAUUUACAUAGAAAAAUAAACACACGGUCCAGUGUGGAGAAACUC
rnacentral:lncRNA from 1 species